rnacentral:rRNA from 1 species
UACGAAGGGGGCUAGCGUUGUUCGGAUUUACUGGGCGUAAAGCGCACGUAGGCGGAUCGUUAAGUCGGGGGUGAAAUCCUGGAGCUCAACUCCAGAACUGCCUUCGAUACUGGCGAUCUUGAGUCCGGAAGAGGUGAGUGGAACUCCUAGUGUAGAGGUGGAAUUCGUAGAUAUUAGGAAGAACACCAGUGGCGAAGGCGGCCAACUGGUCCGACACUGACGCUGAGGCGCGAAAGCGUGGGGAGCAAACAGG